GAAAAUUUAAUGGUUUAUAAAUGUCACGACCCAUUUUCAUGGACCGAACCGGUACUAGGACCUGGGUGGGCUUAAGGCCCCCGAAGCCCGUAGUAAGCUUGUAUUACUUAAAACUCGCAUUCCAUUCACAAUUGUGGAUUCAGGCCCAAUAACUUAUUUCACAAAUAUAUUUAAAGUACAAUCCAUAUAGUAAAUGUCUAAACUCUAUUUAUUCAUUUACAACCCAGUUGGAAUACAAUUGCGGAACUCUACUCCAUAAUUCACUAUCCUUUGCAUUUACAUAUUCAAUACAAUGAUUAUUGCUCAUAUCAAUCCGUAUCUCGUUUGUUCGAUUGGACUCCAGGAUUCUUCUUUCCAUCUAUUAUCUAGGGAGGUUGGAGGGGGGUGAGUACAAGACUCAAUGAGUAGGAUUAGAUAACCCUCUCACUCCACACAAUCAUACAAAUGCUAAAAAAAAUUUUAUUUGGUCAUUCGUUUAAUUAUAUGAUCAUGCAGUUUAUCACACAAAUGACAAUACAACAGCAACUACAAUUAUUAUCACCUUCAUGUAAUCAUAUCACGUGGAAAUUAGUCAGUGGAGUCACCGAAACACGAUAAGCCGUCCUCACACAUGGCUCAUCCACUCACAUGUGCACCAGGGAGCCAAUCCCCAUUCUGGCUGGCCGGUAUAAUACUCACACGACCGGUCCUCUCAUUAUUUUGCUAAUCUCUCUCUUUUCUUUUUUCUUUUUCUUUAUAUAUAUAUAUAUAUAUAUAUACACCAACAGGAGGCAACCCGGUCGUCUCGAUCAAAUAGAGAUCCUUAGGCGCUCAAAACAGAAGGCCACCCUGCGAGUUGCGAUCAGAUCUAAAUUAUCAGGUGCGCCCAAAUAAAGAAGCCAACCUGUGGUUAACGGUAACAGGAACGGUAACAGUAGGUGCACAUGGGGGCACCAAUCUCCCAUUUACCCGGCUAAUCAUAAUCAGGAUCCAUAUAACGGUAACGGUCUCACAAACCCAUGGUGACCCACUUCAUCCCAAUUCCACAUAAACAAGGCACAACAAUAUCACAGCACAAGUAAUCAAGCAAUAUUUAAUAUCAACAAAUAGUGCAUCAUAAUAUGGCGAUAAUGCAUGAUAACAUUUAGCCGUGAAUGCAUGAAUGCAGGNN
rnacentral:lncRNA from 1 species